rnacentral:rRNA from 1 species
UUGGCUAAAGUCGCCUCUCGAUGAAGCUGGCGCUCGGGGAUGGGCCUGCGUCCUAUCAGCUAGUGGUAGGUAACGGCCUACCAAGGCUACGACGGGUAGCUGUCUGAGAGGAUGAUCAGCCACACUGGCACUGAAACACGGGCCAGACUCCUACGGGAGGCAGCAGUGAGGAAUUUUGCGCAAUGGCCGCAAGGCUGACGCAGCAACGCCGCGUGGGUGACGAAGGCCUUCGGGUCGUAAAGCCCUGUCAGGUGGGAAGAAUGACCGGGGGACGAAUAGUCUUUGGGUUUGACGGUACCACCGGAGGAAGCACCGGCUAACUCCGUGCCAGCAGCCGCGGUAAUACGGAGGGUGCGAGCGUUAUUCGGAAUUACUGGGCGUAAAGCGCGUGCAGGCGGGCCGGCAAGUCUGAUGUGAAAGCCCCGGGCUCAACCCGGGAGGUGCAUUGGAAACUGCCGGUCUUGAGUUCUGGAGAGGAAGGGGGAAUUCCCGGUGUAGAGGUGAAAUUCGUAGAGAUCGGGAGGAAUACCAGUGGCGAAGGCGCCCUUCUGGACGGCAACUGACGCUGAGACGCGAAAGCGUGGGGAGCAAACAGGAUUAGAUACCCUGGUAGUCCACGCUGUAAACGAUGAGC